ensembl:lncRNA
AGCCAGCAGCGCCUCCUACAGCCCAAGGGCCUGGUCAGAGGGGAUGGAAAAUUGGGUUAUUAUUUUACCGUCAAUGGACGGAGGAGAAAGUUACUAUGGAGACUGUUGGGAAUUCCUUAGAAUUCCAGGGUUUCCUGUUUACAGGCCUGGGAGAUGGGAGGACUAUAGUCACAUUGGGGCGCAACAACAUCAACCAGUGGAGGCUCCUCAGAGGGGACGGUGCUCUCUGCCUGUGUCUUGUCAGUGUUCGGGAUCCCCAUGAUAUCCCUCUGUCUUCAAUUGAUCCUAAAGAACAGGACUAGAGACAGUUAUUAUACUGUAAAAAAACGUUCUUCAUGACAUAGGUUUAUAAAUAAUUGUAGAUAUUGUCAAAUCUACUGUGGUCUUUGACCAGGUUUCUCUUGAAAAUUGUAUUUAAAAAAAAACUAGAUUAAAUUUCAAUAAAUAAAGGUUUUACUGUAUGCUGUGUCUAACACAACCCAGAGAGCUAACUGG